rnacentral:rRNA from 1 species
GAUCAUGGCUCAGGAUGAACGCUAGCUACAGGCUUAACACAUGCAAGUCGAGGGGAAACGAUAUUGGAAGCUUGCUUCCGAUAGGCGUCGACCGGCGCACGGGUGAGUAACGCGUAUCCAACCUGCCCACCACUUGGGGAUAACCUUGCGAAAGUAAGACUAAUACCCAAUGACAUCCCACGAAGACAUCUGAAUGGGAUUAAAGAUUUAUCGGUGAUGGAUGGGGAUGCGUCUGAUUAG